rnacentral:rRNA from 1 species
GAUGAACGCUGGCGGCGUGCCUAAUACAUGCAAGUCGAGCGAACAGACGAGGAGCUUGCUCCUCUGACGUUAGCGGCGGACGGGUGAGUAACACGUGGAUAACCUACCUAUAAGACUGGGAUAACUUCGGGAAACCGGAGCUAAUACCGGAUAAUAUAUUGAACCGCAUGGUUCAAUAGUGAAAGACGGUUUUGCUGUCACUUAUAGAUGGAUCCGCGCCGCAUUAGCUAGUUGGUAAGGUAACGGCUUACCAAGGCGACGAUGCGUAGCCGACCUGAGAGGGUGAUCGGCCACAAUGGAACUGAGACACGGUCCAGACUCCUAAGGGAGGCAGCAGUAGGGAAUCUUCCGCAAUGGGCGAAAGCCUGACGGAGCAACGCCGCGUGAGUGAUGAAGGUCUUCGGAUCGUAAAACUCUGUUAUUAGGGAAGAACAAAUGUGUAAGUAACUAUGCACGUCUUGACGGUACCUAAUCAGAAAGCCACGGCUAACUACGUG